rnacentral:antisense_RNA from 1 species
UUUUUUUGUGAUAAAAACUUCCUUACUUUUACUUUCUUAUCUAUGGUAGGACCACCUAGCGCAGGGGUCCACAACUCCUGGGCAACAAACUGGUACCAGACCAUGGUCUGUUAGGAACCAGGCCACACAGCAAGAGGUGAGUGGCAGGUAAGCCAGCAAAGCUUUAUCUGUAUGUACAGCCACACCCCAUUUCUCCUAUUCCCACUUGAGCUUCACCUCCUGUCAGAUCAGAGGUAGAAUUAGAUACUCAUUGGAGCAUGAACCCUGCUAUAAACUGUACAUGCUAGGGAUCUAGGUUGUGUGCUUCUUAUGAGAAUCCAAUGCCUGAUGAUCUGUCACUUUCUCCCAUUGCCUCAAGAUGAGAACAUCCAGUGACAGGAAAACAAGUUCAGGGAUCUCACUAAUUCUACAUUAUG